rnacentral:rRNA from 1 species
GAUGAACGCUAGCUACAGGCUUAACGCAUGCAAGUCGAGGGGCAGCGGUAUCGAAAGCUUGCUUUCGGUAGCCGGCGACCGGCGCACGGGUGAGUAACGCGUAUCGAACCUGCCUCAUACUCGGGAAUAGCCUUGCGAAAGUAAGAUUAAUGCCCGGUGUUUUCAGAGUCCCGCAUGAGGCUUUGAACAAAGAUUUAUCGGUAUGAGAUGGCGAUGCGUCCCAUUAGCUUGUUGGCGGGGUAACGGCCCACCAAGGCAUCGAUGGGUAGGGGUUCUGAGAGGAAGGUCCCCCACAUUGGAACUGAGACACGGUCCAAACUCCUACGGGAGGCAGCAGUGAGGAAUAUUGGUCAAUGGGCGGAAGCCUGAACCAGCCAAGUAGCGUGCAGGAAGACGGCCCUCCGGGUUGUAAACUGCUUUUAGUUGGGAAUAAAACGGGGCUCGUGAGCCCCCUUGCAUGUACCAUCAGAAAAAGGACCGGCUAAUUCCGUG